rnacentral:rRNA from 20 species
UGGUGAUGAUGGCGAAGAGGUCACACCCGUUCCCAUGCCGAACACGGAAGUUAAGCUCUUCAGCGCCGAUGGUAGUCGGGGGUUUCCCCCUGUGAGAGUAGGACAUCGCCAGGCA